GGGCAACUUAGAAUAGGGCUGUCUGAAACAACACUGAGAAAAGUCCCUGAAAUUGAUGGUCAAGAUCGUGACAUAAGUACCAGAAGGAUUAAAUCCAAGCUGCUGGUGCUCAUUGCUGUUUCUGAUGUUGCAAGUUCUCUUCUUGACCACAGCUAAACAGAGAAGGAAAAAAAAGAAAGACACCAAAGGACCUGGACCAGUCCGAAUGGAAGCAUUAGCUGGACCACUGGAGCAGAAGCAUAUGCUGCUCAUCUCAUUCCUACUGAUAGCCCAGGAAUGCUGCAUCCCAGCAGCGAUGGCCCUGUGCCUCACCCAGCAGAUAACAGCCCUGUUCUGCACUCGGAUACGGACGCAUAAAGCCAGCAGCAGUACUCAUGCAAAAAUCAUGAGAUUAAGCACCAGUUUGAGAAUCCUGCAAACAGGGAAGGGCUGGAGUUGGUACUGCGGGAAGAGGGCCAUCCUUGGAGUCUUGUGGUGAGAGCAGCUCUGGGCACAGCAGAGCCCUCUGCCUCGCUGCUUCCGCGCUGCAGUCUGCUCGGCCUGCAAGGGGAAGGUCUGUGCAACAAACAAAAGGCAGCUUUGACGUCAAAACCUGGGACCGUUGCCCUGGCACUGGGAGGUGGAGCGCAGGAAGGAAUCCGCCGCUAAUAGGCUCUGGACUGGAGUGCACUUUGGCAGAGGGACAGCUACUACCCCUUCUUUCCAGGAAUAAUACUGUUUAUUUCUAUCUCACUCUCUCUGGCUAAAGUUACCCUACUCAGGUUUCGCUUCACCUGUCUCCACCAUAGAAUCAUCAGAGCCAGGAAAAUUCCAGUCUGCAGACUCCCCAUCUUCCAUACCCCCUUCCCCGAAGAGCUGCACUGCCUACUUUUUCUGUUUCCUUGCUUUGACAUGUUUGCAACCACAGCUUUCUCUUGCUGAAGGGUUUGGUGGUACCAUUUAAUAAAUAAGCGCGUGCAUUUUGCUCUGUAUGUGCACACACGUGUAGCACCUUGCUCCUGCCUGCCCAGGAGCACUGACCUCUGCAGCUCUGUGUGCACGGAGCUCCCAGCAGCAGGACAUAUCUCUGCCUUGCGCAAAUGGC
ensembl:lncRNA